GAGUUUGAUCCUGGCUCAGGAUGAACGCUGGCGGCGUGCUUAACACAUGCAAGUCGAACGAAGCAUUUUGGAAGGAAGUUUUCGGAUGGAAUUCCUUAAUGACUGAGUGGCGGACGGGUGAGUAACGCGUGGGGAACCUGCCCUAUACAGGGGGAUAACAGCUGGAAACGGCUGCUAAUACCGCAUAAGCGCACAGAAUCGCAUGAUUCGGUGUGAAAAGCUCCGGCAGUAUAGGAUGGUCCCGCGUCUGAUUAGCUGGUUGGCGGGGUAACGGCCCACCAAGGCGACGAUCAGUAGCCGGCUUGAGAGAGUGGACGGCCACAUUGGGACUGAGACACGGCCCAAACUCCUACGGGAGGCAGCAGUGGGGAAUAUUGCACAAUGGGGGAAACCCUGAUGCAGCGACGCCGCGUGAGUGAAGAAGUAUUUCGGUAUGUAAAGCUCUAUCAGCAGGGAAGAAAAAAGACGGUACCUGACUAAGAAGCCCCGGCUAACUACGUGCCAGCCGCCGCGGUAAUUC
rnacentral:rRNA from 1 species